rnacentral:rRNA from 1 species
UUCAGCGGCGGAUGGGUGAGUUAUGCCUGGGAAUCUGCCUGCUAGUGGGGGAUAACGUCCGGAAACGGGCGCUAAUACUACAUACGUCCUGAGGGAGAAAGUGGGGGAUCUUCGGACCUCACGCUAUCAGAUGAGCCUCGGUCGGAUUAGCUAGUUGGUGGGGUAAAGGCCUACCAAGGCGACGAUCCGUAACUGGUCUGAGAGGAUGAUCAGUCACACUGGAACUGAGACACGGUCCAGACUAAUACGGGAGGCAGCAGUGGGGAAUAUUGGACAAUGGGCGAAAGCCUGACCCAGCCAUGCCGCGUGUGUAAAGAAGGUCUUCGGAUUGUAAAGCACUUUAAGUUGGGAGGGAGGGCAGUAAGUUAAUACCCUUGCUGUUUUGACGUUACCAACAGAAUAAGCACCGGCUAACUUUCGUGCCACCGGCCGCGGUAAUACGAAGGGUGCAAGCGUUAAUCGGAAUUACUGGGGCGUAAAGCGCGCGUAGGUGGUUCAGCAAGUGGGAUGUGAAAUCCCCCGGGCUCAACCUGGGAACUGCUUCCAAAACUACUGAGCUAGAGUACGGUAGAGGGUGGUGGAAUUUCCUGUGUAGCGGUGAAAUGCGUAGAUAUGGGAAGGAACACCAGUGGCGAAGGCGACCACCUGGACUGAUACUGACACUGAGGUGCGAAAGCUUGGGGAGCAAACCGGAUUGGAUACCCUGUAGUCCACGCCGUAAACGAUGUCGACUAGCCUUUGGGAUCCUUGAGAUCUUAGUGGCGCCCUAACGCGAUAAGUCGACCGCCUAGGGGAGUACGGCCGCAGGUUUAAAACUCAAAUGAAUUGACGGGGGCCCGCACAAGCGGUGGAGCAUGUGGUUUAAUUCGAAGCAACGCGAAGAACCUUACCUGGCCUUGACAUGCUGAGAACUUUCCAGAGAUGGAUUGGUGCCUUCGGGAACUCAGACACAGGUGCUGCAUGGCUGUCGUCAGCUCGUGUCGUGAGAUGUUGGGUUAAGUCCCGUAACGAGCGCAACCCUUGUCCUUAGUUACCAGCACCU